rnacentral:tRNA from 1 species
CGCUGAUGAUCGAGACCCAUAUAAGCCACGUCACCCCAAAGGGUUUCUCCUGUGCUCC